UAAAGGUUUGGUCCUAGCCUUAUUAUCAACUUUUUCUGAACUUACACAUGCAAGCAUCCGCACUCCCGUGAAAAUGCCCUUAAGCCUCUUAAACAGGGGAUAAGGAGCCGGUAUCAGGCACAACUAAUAGCCCAUGACACCUUGCUCUGCCACACCCACAAGGGAAUUC
rnacentral:rRNA from 1 species